rnacentral:rRNA from 1 species
GCUUCUUUUUCCCCGGAGCUUGCUCCACCGGAAAAAGAAGAGUGGCGAACGGGUGAGUAACACGUGGGUAACCUGCCCAUCAGAAGGGGAUAACACUUGGAAACAGGUGCUAAUACCGUAUAACAAUCGAAACCGCAUGGUUUUGAUUUGAAAGGCGCUUUCGGGUGUCGCUGAUGGAUGGACCCGCGGUGCAUUAGCUAGUUGGUGAGGUAACGGCUCACCAAGGCCACGAUGCAUAGCCGACCUGAGAGGGUGAUCGGCCACAUUGGGACUGAGACACGGCCCAAACUCCUACGGGAGGCAGCAGUAGGGAAUCUUCGGCAAUGGACGAAAGUCUGACCGAGCAACGCCGCGUGAGUGAAGAAGGUUUUCGGAUCGUAAAACUCUGUUGUUAGAGAAGAACAAGGAUGAGAGUAACUGUUCAUCCCUUGACGGUAUCUAACCAGAAAGCCACGGCUAACUACGUGCCAGCAGCCGCGGUAAUACGUAGGUGGCAAGCGUUGUCCGGAUUUAUUGGGCGUAAAGCGAGCGCAGGCGGUUUCUUAAGUCUGAUGUGAAAGCCCCCGGCUCAACCGGGGAGGGUCAUUGGAAACUGGGAGACUUGAGUGCAGAAGAGGAGAGUGGAAUUCCAUGUGUAGCGGUGAAAUGCGUAGAUAUAUGGAGGAACACCAGUGGCGAAGGCGGCUCUCUGGUCUGUAACUGACGCUGAGGCUCGAAAGCGUGGGGAGCAAACAGGAUUAGAUACCCUGGUAGUCCACGCCGUAAACGAUGAGUGCUAAGUGUUGGAGGGUUUCCGCCCUUCAGUGCUGCAGCUAACGCAUUAAGCACUCCGCCUGGGGAGUACGACCGCAAGGUUGAAACUCAAAGGAAUUGACGGGGGCCCGCACAAGCGGUGGAGCAUGUGGUUUAAUUCGAAGCAACGCGAAGAACCUUACCAGGUCUUGACAUCCUUUGACCACUCUAGAGAUAGAGCUUCCCCUUCGGGGGCAAAGUGACAGGUGGUGCAUGGUUGUCGUCAGCUCGUGUCGUGAGAUGUUGGGUUAAGUCCCGCAACGAGCGCAACCCUUAUUGUUAGUUGCCAUCAUUUAGUUGGGCACUCUAGCAAGACUGCCGGUGACAAACCGGAGGAAGGUGGGGAUGACGUCAAAUCAUCAUGCCCCUUAUGACCUGGGCUACACACGUGCUACAAUGGGAAGUACAACGAGUCGCGAAGUCGCGAGGCUAAGCUAAUCUCUUAAAGCUUCUCUCAGUUCGGAUUGUAGGCUGCAACUCGCCUACAUGAAGCCGGAAUCGCUAGUAAUCGCGGAUCAGCACGCCGCGGUGAAUACGUUCCCGGGCCUUGUACACACCGCCCGUCACACCACGAGAGUUUUAACACCCGAAGUCGGUGAG